GGUUGUAUAGUAUAGUGGUCAGUACGGCUCGUUGUGGAGGUUUACCUUCUCUAUCUAUCUAUAUCUUGUGAUUAGAGAGAAAACCGAGACAGCAAUCCCGAGCAGACUCAGGUUCGAUUCCUGAUACAGCCA